rnacentral:rRNA from 1 species
GAAUGGAGGACCGAACUCACAUCCGUUGAAAAGGGUGGAGAUGAGGUGUGGAUAGGGGAGAAAUUCCAAUCGAACCCGGAGAUAGCUGGUUCUCCUCGAAAUAGUUUUAGGACUAGCCUCGUUAGAGUCUGCUGGAGGUAGAGCACUGAAUUUUUGCGGGGGCGUCAAAGCUUACCAAUGAAUAUCAAACUCCGAAUGCCAGCCAGAUGAUUAACGGGAGUCAGACUACACGAGAUAAGUUGGGUAGUCAAAAGGGAAAGAGCCCAGACCUACAGCUAAGGUCCCAAAGUAUGUGUUAAGUGGAAAAGGAUGUGGGAUUUCGAAGACAACUAGGAUGUUGGCUUAGAAGCAGCCAUACAUUCAAAGAGUGCGUAAUAGCUCACUAGUCGAGAGGUCCUGCGCCGAAAAUGUCCGGGGCUAAAACACAACACCGAAGCUUAGGAAGUAGAAAUACUUGGUAGAGGAGCAUUCUUACAAGCGUAGAAGCUGUAUCGGAAGAAGCAGUGGAGAAGUAAGAAGAGAGAAUGCCGGAAUGAGUAGCGAGAAAGAGGUGAGAAUCCUCUUGGCCGAAUAUCUAAGGUUUCCAGAGUAAAGCUGAUCUGCUCUGGGUAAGUCGGGGCCUAAGGCAAGGUCGAAAGACGUAGUCGAUGGACAACAGGUUUAGAUUCCUGUACUGCAUAUAAUCAGAACUGUAGGGACACAGAGACGUAAGCGAACCCGGGAAAGCAAAGACCGGGGCAAGCGAGGUAUCCGUAUGGUAGGAAAAACCGCCAUGCAAGGAGAAAGCGUUAUGCGAAGCGAAAAUAAGUAGCGAAGUCGCUAAAGGAGCUGUCAAGAAAAGCUGCUAUUGUAUUAUAUGUACCCGUACCGUAAACCGACACAGGUGGAUGAGGAGAGAAUCCUAAGGCCGGCGGGAGAAGCAUUGUUAAGGAACUCGGCAAAAUGACCCCGUAACUUCGGGAGAAGGGGUACCAAGUGAGAGCUUGGUCACAGAAAAUAGGCUCAAGCAACUGUUUAGCAAAAACACAGGUCUAUGCGAAACCGAAAGGUGAGGUAUAUGGGCUGACGCCUGCCCGGUGCUGGAAGGUUAAGAGGAGAUGUUAGGAAACGAAGCAUUGAAUUUAAGCCCCAGUAAACGGCGGCCGUAACUAUAACGGUCCUAAGGUAGCGAAAUUCCUUGUCGGGUAAGUUCCGACCCGCACGAAAGGCGUAAU